UUGAAACAUUGGUUCUCAUCUGAUCACCAAAGUUAAGCAAGUUGAGCCUGGUCAGUACCUAGAGGGGUGACUGCUUGGGAAUCCCAGCUGGU